CCUACGGGAGGCUGCAGUGAGGAAUAUUGGUCAAUGGCCGAGAGGCUGAACCAGCCAAGCCGCGUGAGGGAAGACGGCCCUAUGGGUUGUAAACCUCUUUUGUCGGAGAACAAAACCCGGGACGUGUCCCGGACUGCGUGUAUCCGAAGAAAAAGCAUCGGCUAACUCCGUGCCAGCAGCCGCGGUAAUACGGAGGAUGCGAGCGUUAUCCGGAUUUAUUGGGUUUAAAGGGUGCGUAGGCGGUCCGUUAAGUCAGCGGUAAAAUUGCGGGGCUCAACCCCGUCGAGCCGUUGAAACUGGCAGACUGGAGUGGGCGAGAAGUACGCGGAAUGCGCGGUGUAGCGGUGAAAUGCAUAGAUAUCGCGCAGAACUCCGAUUGCGAAGGCAGCGUACCGGCGCCAGACUGACGCUGAGGCACGAAAGCGUGGGGAUCGAACAGGAUUAGAUACCCGGGUAGUC
rnacentral:rRNA from 1 species